rnacentral:misc_RNA from 1 species
UCCGGUUUGUCACCGGCAGUCGUACUAGAGAGCCCACCUUGACGUGCUGGCAACUAGUCCUAAGGGUUGCGCUCGUUGCGGGACUUAACCCAACAUCUCACGACACGAGCUGACGACAACCAUGCACCACCUGUCUCCUCUGUCCCGAAGGCCUACGCAAUCUCUUGCGUAUUCAGAGGGAUGUCAAGACCUGGUAAGGUUCUUCGCGUUGCUUCGAAUUAAACCACAUACUCCACUGCUUGUGCGGGUCCCCGUCAAUUCCUUUGAGUUUCAGUCUUGCGACCGUACUCCCCAGGCGGAAUGCUUAAUGUGUUAACUUCGGCACCCAGGGUAUUGAAACCCCGAACACCUAGCAUUCAUCGUUUACGGCGUGGACUAC